UAUUUAUAAGUGUAAGAUGCACGAAAGUUUUUGAUACUUUAAGGGAUAGUUUAAUUCUGUUAUAAAUAA
rnacentral:tRNA from 1 species